rnacentral:rRNA from 1 species
GACGAACGCUGGCGGCGUGCUUAACACAUGCAAGUCGAACGGAAAGGCCCCUUUGGGGGUACUCGAGUGGCGAACGGGUGAGUAACACGUGAGUAACCUGCCCUUGACUUCGGGAUAACUUCAGGAAACUGGGGCUAAUACCGGAUAGGAAUCCUUGCUGCAUGGGGGGGGUUGGAAAGCUUCGGCGGUUUUGGAUGGACUCGCGGCUUAUCAGCUUGUUGGUGGGGUAGUGGCUUACCAAGGCUUUGACGGGUAGCCGGCCUGAGAGGGCGACCGGCCACAUUGGGACUGAGAUAAGGCCCAGACUCCUACGGGAGGCAGCAGUGGGGAAUAUUGCACAAUGGGCGGAAGCCUGAUGCAGCAACGCCGCGUGCGGGAGGACGGCCUUCGGGUUGUAAACCGCUUUCAGCAGGGGCGAAGCUUGUGGUGACGGUACCUGCAGAAGAAGCACCGGCUAACUACGUG